ACAUCUGAUCCGAUCCAAUCCAGGCCCCCAUCCGAUCUCGCCAGGAAACCUCCGAUCGAAGUGGAGCGAAGGGUCUCUCUUCCCCUCCUUCUCGCCAUGUGCGUGCGUGCGUGCCCUGGGAUCGUUUCUAGGACUACCCUGAUCGGUUGUUGUUCGUUCCCCUCGAUUCCUGUUAGACGUUUGGAGUACAUCUGUGGGUCGAGGCGUGGGUGCUGUUGAUCGAUUGCAUCUCGGUCUGUUGGCCAAGGCGGAUUAGGCUCGGCUGUAGUUAAAUCUCUCAUGAUUUUCGAGUAGAUCUGCCAAUUCUGGUGCGUUUGCUGUUGUGUCGCUCAAUAUAUGGCUGAUCUGUCGAAGGAUGUGAGCUAGUUUCUGAUUCUGUAGCCCUGUUAAGGUAUACACCUGUGAUUUGCUAGCGGCUUUCUAGUCGCUUGGAGUUAUCUAUAGUUGUGCAUCAAUUCAACUCUUUCAUGUCGGUUUGUCGAUAUUACUGUUGGUUCGUGGACUUCUCAGCAAAACUAGACUACUUAUGCUCCCACUGAAGCCAAAGAUUGCGCUGGUGGGUAUGCUAAUAGGUUCUGCUAAAAUUUAGCACUGUAUGGUUAGUCAAUCCAUUGGCUUGUUGUAGUGGGCAGCUCCUGUGCAGUUUGCUGAUUUCAUCUCUCUUGCAAUUUCAUUUUUUUGCAUGGUGGCAUCUGGUUCAUCUAUUGUUUGACGUAACACAGAUAUCCCUGUAUGGUAACUUACUCUAGUUCUGUCUGCUUUGUAUUUACAGAUGCAGAUCUUUGUGAGCUCGGACCAAUCGCUCGCCCCUCCAGGGAAGACGCUUUUGCUAAAAUGUGUGCAUGCCAAGAUUCCUACAGUUCCAGACUGAUUGGUGAGAUUACAGUUAUAAGGGUGGAUCGAUUAGCAUACUCUGCCUACUGAAUGCCAGUCUGAGAGGUAGCAUCUGCUAUCGUCAGGUUAUAUAAGGACCUUACAAGCAGCAGCCUUCACAACUCUUUCAUACCCAAUAACUGGAAAGAGUGUGGCACAGCAACAGAGCUUUCCUUGUACCAAAUGCACGCACAUCACGUGGCUGCUCAAGUCCUUCCUUCCUUCUGUUUUGGUAUAAAAAUCUUCUUCGGUUUUGUACAUGGUCCCUGGUUCCUUUGAUGACAUUAGUCAAAAUACACUGAUGGAUAAUUAUAUAUUCACACUGGACAACUAUUAAUUUCUUUUCCUGUAAAAUGAGAUGACAUGAUGCAAAGUGCAACCUGGACAAUGACAUAUGGAGUAGUGUUUUUCUUACUAAUUUUGGAAUAGAUCCAUUGCAUGUAUAUACUGAUCCUAGCCAAAUAUGAAUUCCUUCCACAUUGACAUAGAAAUAACCCCAGUUCUGCUUGUUGUUUUGCUUUACUGUGUCCUGCUGCCACUGGACAUAAUCUCUUCUACUUGAUUCACUAGCAUAGUUUUGAUCUGGUAUUUACAUUCACUGUACUGUAUAGGUAAUUAGUGCUUCAGCUAUUUCUAAAUCAAAAUAUAGUUGCAUUUUCUGUAUCCAACCAUUCACUGUUCUCUAAAUAUCUGCCAGAUAUCUUUGCUAAAUGCUGGCCCCUCGCACGAAAUGUUUAGCUUCUGCUUUGGUGGAACAAGUGAUAACCUACUUGCUGCUGGUUCUAGUUCCAAGGUUGCUCUCACGAGAAGCUGCUGCUACAGGACGCCCUCCCCUCUCCUCCAACCCCUUGACAGGGUCUUCUUCUUCCUUGAUCUGGUGCAGCAGCAACAAUUCAAGGUCAUGGUCAUGAAGCAGCAGCCAUAUAUUUUUCUUCUUCUUAUUCUUCCCUGAGAAGAGAUGAGAUGAGGCUCUGUUGGUCGGUCUUCAAUUCUUCAUGCCGCUGCUGCUACUGCUACAUGAGGACCCUCUUCAAUUCUGCAUCCGUUGCGGCCGCUGUGGUUUCCACUUCCAGAACGGUUCCUUGUGCGGUUACCCGGCCGCCCGCAUCCUUGUGCGGUUACCCGGCCGCCCGCAUCCUUGUGCGGUUACCCGGGCGCCUGCAUCCGCAAGUGUAAGCUCCCCCUCCUUCCGUUCUAGAUCUCUAGGUCUGUUGCUGUCAUGCGCCAUGUUCUUGAUGUUGCGCGUCCUCAUGUGGAUGCCACGAACGGUGCUGCUCCUGCGUGCAGAUUUGAUUCGCCGCAUUAGUAUGCGGUUGUUGUCUUGCCGUGGUUGUUCAAAUUGAGAUGCACCCAGUUGAUUCGUCAUCUCGGGUCAUAAUUUUUCUGCAUUCCCUGUUGCUGUAGCUUGUUGGAUGCAUAGUUUGAUCUCUCAAUGGGAAUUAUUGGUGAAUGGUGAUUGUCGAUGUCAAAACCGGCGGAUCUCGGGUAGGGGGU